rnacentral:rRNA from 1 species
UACGAAGGGUGCAAGCGUUAAUCGGAAUUACUGGGCGUAAAGGGUGCGUAGGCGGUUAGUUAAGUCUGUUGUGAAAUCCCCGGGCUCAACCUGGGAAUGGCAAUGGAUACUGGCUGGCUAGAGUGUGUCAGAGGAUGGUGGAAUUCCCGGUGUAGCGGUGAAAUGCGUAGAGAUCGGGAGGAACACCGGUGGCGAAGGCGGCAUCCUGGACCGGCAUUGACGCUGAGGCGCGAAAGCCAGGGGAGCAAACGGG